rnacentral:tRNA from 1 species
GGCCGUGUACCCGAGUGGCCCAGGGACUCGCCUGCAAAGCGAGCAACGCGGGUUCGAAUCCCGCCACGGCCUC